AUGCUUACUUCAGCAGUACAUAUACUAAAAUUGGAACAAUACAGAGAUUGGCAUGGCCCCUACAUAAGGAUGACAAGCAAAUUCAUGAAGCAUUCCAUAUUUUU
rnacentral:snRNA from 1 species